rnacentral:rRNA from 1 species
UACGUAGGGUCCGAGCGUUGUCCGGGAUUAUUGGGCGUAAAGGGCUCGUAGGCGGUUCGUCACGUCGGGAGUGAAAACUCGGAGCUUAACUCCGAGCCUGCUUCCGAUACGGGCAGACUAGAGGUAGGCAGGGGAGAGCGGAACUCCUGGUGUAGCACGGUGGAAUGCGCAGAUAUCAGGAAGAACACCGGUGGCGAAGGCGGCUCUCUGGGCCUUACCUGACGCUGAGGCACGAAGCGUGGGAGCAACAGG